AGAGAAAACUAUCAUCCUCCAGCCACCAGGCCCUUAAAUACUCCAAUCCAAGACUGACUCCUGCUGACACAACUCUAAUUAUGCAGCCCUCCAUCAAGAUCUGUUACCUAGCAGAAGCUGAGUGUUAAUAGAGGGAUAUUCUGGACUACCCUCUAUAUAGGCCUGUGCUGGUUAAUGGUUGUUGACUGGAUUAAGGAAUACCUAGGGAAUGGCUUGGAGAGUUAGAAAAGGCACUGGUUGGC
rnacentral:lncRNA from 10 species